AGAGUUUGAUUCUGGCUCAGGAUGAACGCUGGCGGCGUGCUUAACACAUGCAAGUCGAACGAGGAAGGUUAGAAUGAGAGCUUCGGCAGGAUUUCUUUCCAUCUUAGUGGCGGACGGGUGAGUAACGUGUGGGCAACCUGCCCUGUACUGUGGAAUAAUCAUUGGAAACGAUGACUAAUACCGCAUGUGGUCCUCGGAAGGCAUCUUCUGAGGAAGAAGGGAUUUAUUCGGUACAGGAUGGGCCCGCAUCUGAUUAGCUAGUUGGUGAGAUAACAGCCCACCAAGGCGACGAUCAGUAGCCGACCUGAGAGGGUGAUCGGCCACAUUGGGACUGAGACACGGCCCAAACUCCUACGGGAGGGUAGCAGUGGGGAAUAUUGCACAAUGGGGCAAAGCCUGAUGCAACAACGCCGCGUGAAGGAUGAGGGGUUUCGGCUUGUAAACUUCUAUCAAUAGGGAAGAAACAAAUGACGGUACCUAAAUAAGAAGCCCCGGCUAACUACGUGCCAGCAGCCGCGGUAAUACGUAGGGGGCAAGCGUUAUCCGGAAUUACUGGGUGUAAAGGGAGCGUAGGCGGCAUGGUAAGCCAGAUGUGAAAGCCUUGGGCUUAACCCGAGGAUUGCAUUUGGAACUAUCAAGCUAGAGUACAGGAGAGGAAAGCGGAACUCCUAGUGUAGCGGUGAAAUGCGUAGAUAUUAGGAAGAACACCAGUGGCGAAGGCGGCUUUCUGGACUGAAACUGACGCUGAGGCUCGAAAGCGUGGGGAGCAAACAGGAUUAGAUACCCUGGUAGUCCACGCCGUAAACGAUGAGUGCUAGGUGUCGGGGGGGAAUCCUCGGUGCCGCAGCUAACGCAAUAAGCACUCCACCUGGGGAGUACGGCCGCAAGGUUGAAACUCAAAGGAAUUGACGGGGGCCCGCACAAGCGGUGGAGCAUGUGGUUUAAUUCGAAGCAACGCGAAGAACCUUACCAAGGCUUGACAUCCCGAUGACCGUCCUAGAGAUAGGACUUCUCUUCGGAGCAUCGGUGACAGGUGGUGCAUGGUUGUCGUCAGCUCGUGUCGUGAGAUGUUGGGUUAAGUCCCGCAACGAGCGCAACCCUUAUCUUCAGUAGCCAUCAUUCAGUUGGGCACUCUGGAGAGACUGCCGCGGAUAACACGGAGGAAGGUGGGGAGGACGUCAAAUCAUCAUGCCCCUUAUGUCUUGGGCUGCACACGUGCUACAAUGGCUGGUAACAAAGUGACGCAAGACGGCGACGUUAAGCAAAUCACAAAAACCCAGUCCCAGUUCGGAUUGUAGUCUGCAACUCGACUACACGAAGCUGGAAUCGUUAGUAAUCGCGAAUCAGCAUGUCGCGGUGAAUAAGAUCCCGGGCCUUGCACA
rnacentral:rRNA from 1 species